rnacentral:rRNA from 1 species
AGAGUUUGAUCAUGGCUCAGAUUGAACGCUGGCGGCAGGCUUAACACAUGCAAGUCGAGCGGAAACGAUGGGAGCUUGCUCCCAGGCGUCGAGCGGCGGACGGGUGAGUAACGCGUAGGAAUCUACCCAGUAGUGGGGGAUAGCCCGGGGAAACUCGGAUUAAUACCGCAUACGCCCUACGGGGGAAAGGCCGGGAUCUUCGGACCGGUCGCUAUUGGAUGAGCCUGCGUUGGAUUAGCUAGUUGGUAGGGUAAAGGCCUACCAAGGCGACGAUCCAUAGCUGGUCUGAGAGGAUGAUCAUCCAGGCUGGAACUGAGACACGGUCCAGACUCCUA